rnacentral:tRNA from 1 species
GGUCAGAUGGCCGAGCGGUUAGGCAAGGGUCUGCAAAACCUUCUACAGCGGUUCAAAUCCGCUUCUGACCUCCA